CUUUUCUAGAUAUUUCUUCGUCAUCCCCUGGGAUACUGAUUGUCCUGGACACAGUGCGUGUUUCUGUUUAUGUAUUUUUUGUUUACAUUUUAUUUAUGUAGGAAUAGGAAUGUAGGAAAAUAAGGACCACGUGUUGGUGCAUAAAACUUUAGUGUCUAAGAGUCGUGGUUUCUUCGAAGGCACCCCAUCUGAAAAUCUUCUGGCGCCCUAAAUUAAGAAUAUGGAGGGAUUCAACGUAAUAUAAUUUUAGGUGACGAUGACAAAGAUAUAUCUGUUAAACUGAAGAUUUUUAAAAAGGAAUUCUAGAAGCGAUGCCAUAAAGCUGUUUUGGUGAAUUAUUGAAGUCAUGGACGAUGGAACAAAGGAGGUUCCCAGAAUGUUUCAAUUUCCUCAUGACAUAUGAAUGAUCAAAGAGAAUCUGAUAUGAAAAAAGUGAAACCAAAGGUCAGUAAAAUAGUUACAUUUAGUUCGUUUGGUUUAAAAUACAUUUAAGGUAUACAUAGUCUGUCUCAAAAAUUAUGACUUUGGAUGUCAGAUACGCGAAAGGGGUAAACAAAUCGUAAUUUUUAUUUAGUAUUAUUCGAAAUGAAUUUCUUCAUCACUGUAAUUUGAAUCUCUUCUGUAGCCAGAUGUCUGCUGGUGGUAAAUCUAGCGGGUAUGGCGGAUGUUAUAAAAGAAAAAGGCCCUUUUUGGACAAAAACUUCAUCACUAUUCUAGACUUGUGAGCCGACGCGUUGCUAUGUAUUUUGACAAGCUGUGUCGAAAUAAAAGGGUUCAGUAUCGAUUUUCUACAGCCAUUGUCUCAAGAUUUUGGAUGAAGUCCAUUCUAUUCAUUGCUUAAUUAAAGAAAUACCAAGUACA